UACAGAGGGUGCAAGCGUUGUUCGGAAUUACUGGGCGUAAAGCGCGUGUAGGUGGCGAUGUAAGUCGGGUGUGAAAUCCCUCGGCUCAACCGAGGAAGUGCACUCGAUACUGUGUCGCUUGAGUGUUGGAGGGGAUGGCGGAAUUCCCGGUGUAGAGGUGAAAUGCGUAGAUAUCGGGAGGAACACCUGUGGCGAAAAGCGGCUCACUGGACCACAACUGACGCUGAGGCGCGAAAGCUAGGGGAGCAAACAGGG
rnacentral:rRNA from 1 species